CCACCUUUAUUGUUCUUAUUUUUGCUUCAAUCCAACAUAAAAACAAUUUUUCUUUUGGUGCAUCACUAUUAAAUGGAGUGUUGUGAUUUUUCACCCCUAUAAUGGAAAACUUUUUGCAUACUUUAAAACUAUAUUCUUAUUUAUACAAUAUUAAAUAAUUUAUUAUGCAACAUAUAUAAUAAGAAACUACUCCUUUUUCUUUCUUCUCUCUAGAUUAUUGCUCUGAAAUUUCCCAGUACUCAAAGCUAGAGUUUUCCUGUAAGGCUGCCUUUGGUAGUUUCAACUAUCAGAGGCGACUCCCUUGGUGCUUGGGUUGUAGAAUUUUUAUUUUAUUAUGUAUAUUCGGUUUUCUUUCAAGCUUUAAUCCUAUAAGAUGCCACCUUAUGUUGGUACCUAGAGAUGGAGAAGAAAGUAAGUUAGCAGAUCGAAAGAUCCAUGAGUGGUUGAGUGGGUGGAAUCCUUCCCCUAGUCCUCUGGUUCUACUGUUUAAAGGUAGGAUGAUGAGGGCUUACAGAUAUAUAAUUUUUGUUUCGACAAAGAAUGUUUCAACUUCAUUUCCGAUCAACUGAGCUUCAAAGCUAUUAAUCAAUGCUGCAAACGGUGGCUGCUAGGUCUAAAUAAGUGCAAUGUUCUUUUAUAUGGCUUGAUCUUGUGGCCCCUAACCAUAGAGAAGAUGGCAGCUGUGGCUGCCCUAGAAUUUGUCGAGGAAGAAGUGUUUUCUAAGAGGAGUCAUAUUGUAAACUCUUUCUCCUUGUAAACCAUAGGGCCGAUUAUCUUAAGAGUUUUAAGCCUAGUUGCGUGGGUUUCUCCUUGUAUUUGUAUCAUUUAUACUGUUUGGGCCUUGUGGGCCCAUUAAUACUACCCUAUUUUUCUAUUAAAAAAAGAGAUAAUAGUUUAUUACGUUUCAA